GGGUAGACAGCCUAGUGGUUACGGCUAUGGAUCGCCAAUCCGGAGACGGUGGGUUCGAUUCCCGUUCCGGUCG
rnacentral:tRNA from 1 species